ACUCAAAUGAAUAGACGGGGGCCCGCACAAGCGGCGGAGCAUGCGGAUUAAUUCGAUGCAACGCGAAGAACCUUACCUGGGUUUGACAUGUGCGCUAAAGCCGUAGAGAUACGGUGUCCCUUUGGGGGCGUUCACAGGUGGUGCAUGGCUGUCGUCAGCUCGUGUCGUGAGAUGUUGGGUUAAGUCCCGCAACGAGCGCAACCCUCGUUCCAUGUUGCCAGCACGUUAUGGUGGGGACUCAUGGGAGACUGCCGGGGUCAACUCGGAGGAAGGUGGGGAUGACGUCAAGUCAUCAUGCCCCUUAUGUCCAGGGCUUCACGCAUGCUACAAUGGCCGGUACAAUGGGCUGCGAUACCGCGAGGUGGAGCGAAUCCCAAAAAGCCGGUCUCAGUUCGGAUCGCAGUCUGCAACUCGACUGCGUGAAGUCGGAGUCGCUAGUAAUCGCAGAUCAGCAACGCUGCGGUGAAUACGUUCCCGGGCCUUGUACACACCGCCCGU
rnacentral:rRNA from 1 species